UUGACAGUACUUCAACAGGAAGCUGGAUAGAGACACUUCGUCACAUCAAGCUACGAGAAAGCAUAUCAUCAUUUCACCGAAAUCUACUCGAACACCGCAUCCAAAUCAGACUUUAAAAAUGGCGUCCAAAACCAUGAUUGCUCUCUACUUUCUGAUUGCCUUGGCCGUGGCAGCAAGUGUUUUAGUCGAGGAAGAUGAGAUCGACAAUUCUAAUGCGUUGAAUGUCGAGAAAAACGUCAAAGGCGUCAAGGAAGAUGAGAUCGACAAUGAUAAUGAGUUGGAUGUCGAGGAAGACAUGCCUUAUACUCCCCGCAGGAGUAGAAUAGGGGAAGAGUAGCUUCGAGAAGAUCGGAAAGUAUACUAGCUGGAUCUUUUCCAUGUGGUCAGACGUCUGCUCUGUUUGUUGAGACUUUUUUCAAAUUAAUGCGAGAAAAACAAUCAUCGGUGAUCAGUCAUCACUGACCUUAACCCUAACCCCAACGAAUUCAUAACCUUGUCUCUAA